UACGAAGGGGGCUAGCGUUGCUCGGAAUCACUGGGCGUAAAGGGUGCGUAGGCGGGUCUUUAAGUCAGAGGUGAAAUCCUGGAGCUCAACUCCAGAACUGCCUUUGAUACUGGGAGCUCGAGUCCGGGAGAGGUGAGUGGAACUGCGAGUGUAGAGGUGAAAUUCGUAGAUAUUCGCAAGAACACCAGUGGCGAAGGCGGCUCACUG
rnacentral:rRNA from 1 species